GACGAACGCUGGCGGCGUGCUUAACACAUGCAAGUCGAACGGAAAGGCCUGCUUUCCCUUGUGGAUUGCGGGUACUCGAGUGGCGAACGGGUGAGUAACACGUGAGUGAUCUGCCCCCAACUUGGGUAUAAGCCUGGGAAACUGGGUCUAAUUCCCGAUAGGACUGCAGGGUGGUGCCUGUGGUGGAAAACGAUUUUCUAGUGGUUGGGGAUGAGCUCGCGGCCUAUCAGCUUGUUGGUGGGGUAAUGGCCUACCAAGGCGGCGACGGGUAGCCGGCCUGGGAGGGUGGACGGGCACAUUGGGACUGAGGUACGGCCCAGACUCCUGCGGGAGGCAGCAGUGGGGAAUAUUGCACAAUGGGCGGAAGCCUGAUGCAGCGACGCCGCGUGGGGGAUGACGGCCUUCGGGUUGUAGACUCCUUUCGACCGCGAGGAAGCCACCUGGUUGGGAGGGUGGUGACGGUAGUGGUAGAAGAAGCACCGGCUAACUACGUG
rnacentral:rRNA from 1 species